GCGCUACGCAUCCACAUAUGCAUACCGGACGUCGGUCAAUGUACUGUGAACAAACAGCGUGUCCAAAACAGGCUUUCGCUGAAUGUCGAGCAUGGAAUAACAAGGGAUCGAUUCUCUCGGUUCUUUUUGUUGGUUUUUAACCCGAGAAGGGAGUAAUUCAGUCCACGGUGUCUGAGUUGGGUUUCCCUUCACCUCGGUGGAGGCCCCAAUUAGGCCGUGUACUUACGGGAUAAAUAGGGACUGACGGGGUCGUACGUACUUCCACGUCAGAGGUGAAAUUCUUAGAUCGUGGGAAGACGAACUUCGGCGAAAGCAUUCGACAAGAAUGUCUUCAUUAAUCAAGAACGAGAGUGUGGGGAUCGAAGAUGAUCAGAUACCGUCGUAGUCCACUACUGUAAACAAUGCCGUCUCAGGAUUGAGAAGUGAACAGAAUGACUUUCACAGCACUAACCCCUGAAACGAGAAAUCAAAGAUUAUGGGUUCAGGGGGGAGUACAUUCGCAAGGCUGAAACUUAAAGGAAUUGACGGAAUGACACCACAAGGCGUGGAGUAUGCGGCUUAAUUUGACUCAACACGGGGAAUUUUACUAGGUCAGGACAAUGUAAGGAUUGACAGAUUGAGAGCUCUUUCUCGAUCCAUUGUGUGGUGGUGCAUGGCCGCUCCUGGUUGGUGGAGUGAUUUGUCUGGUUGAUUCCGUUAACGAACGAGAUCUCGACCCUUAAAUAGGUGCCCAUGUCGAUUGUAGUUUCGCCUCCGCUCGCUUGCGAGAUUGGAGCGGGACGAGACUGUGGGAAUACUUCUUAGGGGGACUGUGUGCGUCUCUAGCACGCGGAAGAGCGAGCCAAUAGCAGGUCUGUGAUGC
rnacentral:rRNA from 1 species